rnacentral:rRNA from 1 species
CCUACGGGGGGCAGCAGUGGGGAAUAUUGCACAAUGGGCGCAAGCCUGAUGCAGCCAUGCCGCGUGUGUGAAGAAGGCCUUCGGGUUGUAAAGCACUUUCAGCGGGGAGGAAGGCGGUGAGGUUAAUAACCUCAUCGAUUGACGUUACCCGCAGAAGAAGCACCGGCUAACUCCGUGCCAGCAGCCGCGGUAAUACGGAGGGUGCAAGCGUUAAUCGGAAUUACUGGGCGUAAAGCGCACGCAGGCGGUCUGUCAAGUCGGAUGUGAAAUCCCCGGGCUCAACCUGGGAACUGCAUUCGAAACUGGCAGGCUAGAGUCUUGUAGAGGGGGGGAGAAUUCCAGGUGUAGCGGUGAAAUGCGUAGAGAUCUGGAGGAAUACCGGUGGCGAAGGCGGCCCCCUGGACAAAGACUGACGCUCAGGUGCGAAAGCGUGGGGAGCAAACAGGAUUAGAUACCCUAGUAGUC